rnacentral:rRNA from 1 species
AAAUAGAUACCCUGGUAGUCCACGCUGUAAACGGUGGGUACUAGGUGUGGGGUCCAUUCCACGGGUUCCGUGCCGUAGCUAACGCUUUAAGUACCCCGCCUGGGGAGUACGGCCGCAAGGCUAAAACUCAAAGGAAUUGACGGGGCCCCGCACAAGCGGCGGAGCAUGCGGAUUAAUUCGAUGCAACGCGUAGAACCUUACCUGGGUUUGACAUGGAUCGGGAGCGCUCAGAGAUGGGUGUGCCUCUUUUGGGGUCGGUUCACAGGUGGUGCAUGGCUGUCGUCAGCUCGUGUCGUGAGAUGUUGGGUUAAGUCCCGCAACGAGCGCAACCCUUGUUCACUGUUGCCAGCACGUUAUGGUGGGGACUCAGUGGAGACCGCCGGGGUCAACUCGGAGGAAGGUGGGGAUGACGUCAAGUCAUCAUGCCCCUUAUGUCCAGGGCUUCACGCAUGCUACAAUGGCUGGUACAGAGAGUGGCGAGCCUGUGAGGGUGAGCGAAUCUCGGAAAGCCGGUCUCAGUUCGGAUUGGGGUCUGCUAACG